rnacentral:lncRNA from 13 species
CCAGCCAGGGCAGGCAGGAGCUUCAGUCCUGUGGGAUUGGGGCAGAGAGCCAUAGCAGUGUGAUGCUUUAUCAUACGACAACACUUGUCUUUGGACACUUUAUAAAUAAAGCUGGAGUUUUCCUCUUGCAACUGGGGAUUUGUCUGCUUUUAUCCAAUUCUCAUCUGCGCUUAACAGAUAUUGGACAAAGAUUCUUCUGCUCUACUCUAUCAAACGCUGGAUCUCUUUUGAAGCUAAAUGUCAGCGUGUGGAAUAAUGUUCUGAUGAACUACACUCUGUCUUUUGGAUUGAAGCUUUAAACACUUCAUAGCUCAUUGAAUGACAGUGUUAUUGUUUUAUUUUCAAUCUAGGCUAACUCUUCUGAUUGCCUGCAAAGAGAUUUUGCAAGUUACCUCUUCAGCUACUCGUUGUAAAUGUUCAGACGACAGAGUAAUGACUGUCUGGAGGUCCGUGCUCUGUGGAAAAGACAAGUGACAUUUGUGAGUGCUUGUGGUUCUUGUAUCGUGGGUUUCAUUUGCACACGUUGUGUUUAACUCCAGUGCCACACUUCUAAUCCAAUAUACAUGUGUUAUGUAACACAGGUCAUGGUUGGAUUUAAGAUGGAAUCAUGUUACUAGGCCCAUGCAGUCAGCAGCAUUUUACUCUACUCGCAUUCAUUAAAACAGAAAUACUUUUGUCACCAACUUCUGUUUUCCUUGGGUGUCCAUGCCCCUUCAUUGUUAACUAUGCAGCAUAAUGCAACAGCAACAUUCUUGACCUGAACCAUACAUCUCCAAGUUUCAAAAACCAGAUGUAUUCUAUAAAGUAGUAUUCAAAAUGUCUUCUCGUUAAAGGAAAUCUUUUGUCUAAUUGCCCUUUUCAAGCACUACCCUUCUACAUUUGCACCUGUCCAUGCAAUUGUGCCAUGUUUUUAAACUGUAGCAAAAUGUAUUAUACCAGUGUGUGUGAGUAUGGACCGAAAGCAGAUUGGUGUGAAGAAUGGAGUAAAUCAUAUCAACACCCCUUGUUUUUUUUCUUUUAAGACUAUUGUAUGAACUGUACUUCACUGACAUACUAGCAAUGGGUCCUGUUAUUUAUAUUACUCCAUAAAAACACAAUGAACUAAAUAUUAUUCUAGCUGGACAAAUACACAGUAUGUCAAAUAUUAAGAAACCCUGCUCUUUCCAUGACAGACUGACCAGGUGAAUCAAGGUUAAAGCUACGAUCCCUUAUUGAUGUCACUUGCUACAUCCACUUCAAUCAGUGUAGACGAAGGGGAGGAGAUAGGUUAAAUCAUUAUUUUUGGUGUAUGUGUGCCAUUCAGAGGGUGAAUGGGCAAGACAAGUUAAGUGCCUUUGAACAGAGGUAUGGUAGUAGUCAACAUGGGUUGACUCCAAUGCUUCCCACACCUUCUAGAGUCCAUGCCUGGACGAAUUGAGGCAUUUCUGAGGCAACUCAAUAUUAGGAAGGUGUUCCUAAUGUUUGGUAUACUCUAUUCUGAGCUACCUCAAGGUCAAGAAUGCACAGCUGGAUAAAGUGGCAGUUUUGGCUCCCUAGCUGUUCCCACCUAUCUAAUACUACCCUCUAGUGAUACCAGUUUGAUACACAUUGUUGUUGGGUCUAUGCUAUCUGGAAUGCUUGGGACGUCUAUACCCCCCAUUGAAGUAGACAUUUAAAAUGGUACAGGUUUAGGGUAGGGACGUCCCAGGGAUACCAGAUAGCACUGGCCAGGGUUGCUGUCAAUAGUUUACAACACAGUAUUCAGGGUCAUAAUGAAAGAAAGGAUUCCAAAGGCAACAAACAUUCCUUACCCCAGGACAAUAAAGUAAAGGAGCACUCUGUUUCUGCAUAGAUCUGUUCAUUUAUUGACAGGGCAGCAGGCGUCCGUUUUGGCAUCUUUGCCUUCAUCAGAGCCUUGGGGGUCAGUGAAACUAACAAGUAACCAUUUCCGAUGCCUGACUCAGAUUCUGUCUCUUAGAUUAGUUAACCAUAAAGUACACUAUGCUUCAUAGAUGUCCCCUCCUGUGCUGUAAUGAAAAGGAUCGCUGCAGGGAACUGAAUUUCCUGAGGUCCCGCACGGAGAUGGAGGGACCGGACGGGGGGGGGGGGAAGAGGCAUAGAUACGGUAUAUAGUUGUUACGAAUCCCUUUUGGCCCGACAGUCUAGGGGGAUGGUAAUGAGACCCGUAACAUAUCUCAUGCAAAUUAUAGCUGUGACAAAGUGUGAACGAAAUAACCACGACAACUGAAAUAAUACCGUCAAACUCAGGGUUUAUUUAUAAACACACGGUAAUGGGGGGAGCAGGAAAAGGGGCUGAGCUGGACCCAAGGAAAGAAACAAUACAUAUGCAAAAACACCCCUAAGCUAGACUAGCCUACUUUAACAACAGCUAACUAACCAAAAAUACAGUGGGUGGUCCGCCCAGUUCUAACUAGUGUAUUUAACAAAGUUCACCUACGGGUAGUGUAUGCCCAUGGGCGACUUGUCUUGGUUUCCCCCUUUUCCCACCAGCAACAAACAAACAAACAAACAAACACCAUAACCAAAACAAUAUGCUAUGGAGGUGCUCAAACAAAAGAGAGGUUAAUUAAUACACAGAGAGCGAGUGAAACACAGAGGUCUACAAACAUGGCAUUUACAAAGAGAUUGAGCUCUAGAGCAAACAAAUGAUGGGGUUUUUAAACCAUGGGGAAGGAACUGUGAUAGGGUAGGAAACAGGAGGAGGUGUGUCUUCUGAUUGAUGGGUUGAUUGUUGACUGAUUGGGGAGUGAUGAUUUUCACCUGUGAGGGGAGAAGGAGAGAAAAGAAACACACACAGGAUACACACACAGACACAGGAUACCUGUAUCCGUAACAAUAGUGAACAAAAAUUCAAACGCAACAUGUAAUGUUUUGAUCCCAUAUUUCAUGAGCUGAAAUAAAAGAUUCCAGAAAUAUUCCAUACGCACAAAAAGCUUAUUUUUCUCAAAUUCUGUGCACAAAUUUGUUUACAUCCCUGUUAGUGAGCAUUUAUCCUUUGGCAAGAUAAUUGGCAAUUGGCAUGCUGAAUGCAGGAACGUCCACCCGAGCUGUUGCCAGAGAACUGAAUGUUGGCAUUUUCCUCCAACGUUGUUUAAGAGAAUUUGGCAGUACAUCCAACCGGCCUCACAACCGCAAACCACUCCAGCCCUGGACAUCCAUAUCCGGCUUCUUCACCUGCGGGAUCGUCUGAGACCAGCCACCUAGACAGCAGAUGAAACUGAGGAGUAUUUCUGUGUGUAAUGAAGCCCUUUUGUGUGGAAAAACUCAUUCUGAUUGCCUGGGCAUGACUCCCCAGUGCAUGGGCCUGGCUCACAAGUGGGUAGGCCUAUGCCCUCCCAGGCCCACCCAUGGCUGCGCCCCUGCCUAGUCAUGUGAAAUCCAUGGAUUUGGGCCCAAUUAAUGCAUUUAAAUUGACUGAUUUUCUUACAUUAACUGUAACAGUAAAAUG